AGAAGGGUGCCGUCGGGCACCUCUACAGCGUUCUCCAAAUCCCCGUCCUCCUCAAAAUCCUCGGCGGCAUCCUUCUCCUCCCCGCCGGCCGGGCCAACUCCUCCUCCUCCUGCCCGCCGGCCGCCGCGCUCGCGCUCGUCGCAUCCCCGUGGGCGUUCUGGAUCGGCACGUGCGUAACGGUGCUGGCGUGCUGCUGUUCGGGUCCGGAUGCGGCGGCGUACCGGUGCUACUGCUCGGGUCCGGACGCCGCAGAGGUGGCCACGAAUAGGGCAGUCAGCGUCGAUUUAACCCCUGCGGUGGCCUCCUGACAGGGAUACCGGCGUCGAUCUGGCCCCUGCGGUCGCCGCGGACGGGGCUGCCGGCGUCGAUCUGGCCCCUGCGGUCGCCGUGGACGGGGCUGCCGGCGUCGAUUUGGCCUCUGUGGUGGCCGCAGAUAGGGCUGCCAGCGUCGAUCUGGGCCCUGCGGUCGCCGCGGACGGGGCUGCCGGUGCUGAGAUGAAGCUGGAGGUAGUUGCGCGCCUGGCCAAAAGGUGCUGGGUGAGGACCUGCACCCAGAGGUGGAUGCUCUUCUGGCCGAGGUGCUUUCCAAGAUGAAACUUUCUACCACGAAUGCUUCAUCGACUUGUAUAAGCUCUUGUUGGUGAUCAGCGGCUUCUAAGUUGAGGUCAAAAGCAUCUUCUGAAUAUGGAGCAUCAAAGUUGAAACCUUCAUCUUGUUGAUGGUCAUCGUCAACAGCAAGAACUGCAGUAUGGCAGCAAUAUUGAGGGCAUGCACACUUCCAUGUUGCUCUUUCUGGAGAUAGUGGGACUGACCUUUGAGUGGAUGCACUUGUGCUACCUUGAUGUGAUCAAAUUUUCAUCACCAGCAGGCUCUUGAUUUAGGUUUGGCUAUCAAGAGCUCUUCACUUUCUUCAACUGAUAUUCUAUUUAGAUCUAUGGCCAUGGUCGAAGAUGGAACUGUCAAGCAAUGGUAGAGUUGGAACGUCUAGAUGGCUUGUGUUGUUCAUCAGAAGCAUGUGAAGGCUUUUUAUAGUGGGGCAAUGGCGCCAGGUUCCCAAAAUUCAAAAUUUUGGCUUCCCGCUCUCAAUGUCGCGAGUGCUGGAAGUUUCUGUAAUUUCGUGGAGUUCUUAGUUGUGGCCACAUGUGUCGUUGUAGACCUUGUGUGUUCCUGGCUGUGUUUAGAUCCCUGGAAAAGUGGAGAAAAAGUCACAUCGGAUACUGUAGCGCACUGUAGCACUUUUUGUUUGUUUGUGGUAAAUAUUAUCCUACCAUGAUCUAACUAGGCUCA